ensembl:processed_transcript 4930483J18Rik RIKEN cDNA 4930483J18 gene
UCCGCACCCUCCCCCCUACCCGCCUGGGAGCGACAGCCGUAUCGACCAAUCAGAAACCUAGCGCCGUUAGGGCUAGCCCGAUUUAGGGGGCGUUCGCCGAAGGAAGAGGAACGAGGGAGGCUAGUACGGCGGCGCGACUUCUGUGACUGACAUCAUAGCGCAGCCAAUCGGUAACUGAGAGAUGACUUCAUCGCUGAAGGAAGUCUGGAACUGGCGGAGCGGCCGCCAAGAGGCCACCAUCCACUGGAUAAACUGAAGUAUGAUUGCCCCAGAGUCCAACGUGGAAAACCAGAACAUCUACAGUCAACAAGCCCAGUCUUGAGGGGCUCUUGCAAGAUAGCUGUGCUUUUGCAAGGACAGAGCUGCUGGACACAAGGAAAAAGAAAGAAGGUGCUUUCCCUAAAGGUUCUGGAGAGCAGAGUCCCCAGUGUGGGAGCAAGGGUUAACACUGUAGAAGCAGAAACCCUCAGGGGCAUCCUGACAGACGUGGGAAGGCACAGUGACUGGAAGGAGGUAACGCAUGUUACAUCUCUGAGUGAGUUACUCUGUAUGGCUUCCGUUCUCCCCCGGAAAUCUCCCAGACUUCUCAGUGGUGUGUGGCUCUGUUGGGAUAGGAGAAGGAGCUGCAACUCUCUCUAUCCACUGCAGUAAGCCAGCCCGGCCCUGAGUAAUUCCCAGUUAUUCAUCUGUAAGUCAGCUUCAAGUUCCGUACCAUGUGUCUCAUCACAGAACCUUGGAGGUAGCCCAGAUCCUGUGGCCUCUUAGUCACACCUUCCCUCCCAAGAUUAAAAAAAAAAAAGAAAAAAAAAAAAACCACAAAAGCCCUAAUAAAAUUAUAUGUUCAAUAACUAUAUAUGCUAUAUAAAUAAAAACUUAAAAUGAAAUAA